UUCUCUAAUCUUUAAAUCAUGACAAGCACAAGGAAUUUCUUUUGUAUAAAUUGGUUCACUGCUGAGUUUUAUCAGCCCCUCGAGGUGUUGUUCAUUUGUUUGUUAGUGUAGGUGAUGAGUGAUGAGCUGAACCAAUUUAACAUCUGCAGCUUGACAGGUGUGACUGCGCAAGGGUGUGACUGGCAGGUGCUGCUGCACAGGUGUUGCUCAUCUGAGAGCAAUCAGCUGAGCUACUUAUGGAGUGGAAACCCAGAGAGAGGCGUCAGCUCGCUUUCUCACUUGGCGUGAUAAUAGCUAGACCCUGCUUCUCUGCAGUCCUGCUUCUAAGCAGUUUCUCUGACCUCCUUGUUUUUCUUCCCUGCCUUGCAGAUCAAGGUAGUUGUGGAACCUUUCUGGUCUCCGUUUUCACUUGUGUCAUGUUCAGAGGAGUUUGGGAACUCCAGCCUCGACACCUCAGCCCUGAGCCUCCUCUCUGCUUCCAACUCCAAGCCCAGCUUCUCAGGAGCUACUUGAGAACCACCCAUCAACCUGCUUUCCAGUCCACCCUCCAACCAUAGUGGAGUUUUCUGGAAGAGAAGAAACUAAGCACUUCAUCCUCCAAAAACUGUUCACAGCCUGUCAGCCUCAAGCCACCAUGGAGAAGGACUUAUUUCCCCCCCUGUCUUGCCAAGAACCCCACCCCACCCCUGUAAGUCAGCAUCUAAAGAACACAGUCACAUUGUCUCCAUUUCCACCCAGAGUGUUCACCAGCUUCGGUCUUUCUCCUUCAGAGAGACCCCGCGUUCGUCCGCCAGCUCCAGUCCUGGUUGCAGUCCAACCUUUAUCCGUGUUUUUAAAGAAACUGUUAAAACACUAUCAAACAAAUGAUACAUGAUUUUCAAAGUCCUCUUCGCUUUGAUAUCCCUCCAACAAAUCCAGGGCAGCCAACUGCUAGACGUUUCAUAAAUAGUAAUUUGUAAAUAUAAAAUUGAUAUUUUGGCUUGCAUGCAAAAACAAUGUGUUGUUGAAAACUAGCACUGAUCUUAAACCCAAGAAAAAACACCAUCCAACCAUCAAGGUCACACAUGCUGCGGGGAUGAUUUCCUUCAGCAGAGAAUGGGAAGCUGCUAGAGUGAUGAGAAAUUGGAUUAAGUUAAAUCUGGAUAAUCCUGGAAGGAUUCUUUAAAAAAGAAAAAGUUGAUAUUAGGGUCUAGGGUAAUCUUCCAACAGGACAACAACCCUAACUAUACAGCAAAGACAUUUUUCAGAUUAAAGCAUGUUGAUGUGUUUGAAUGGCCCAGUCAAAGUCUAGACAUGAUUACAACUGAGAGUCUGUGGCAGGACUCGAAAAUGGAUCUUCACAGAUGUUCUUCAACCAGUCUAAAUGAGCUUGAGCUUUUUUGCAAUAGUGUUCUUCCUCCUGUCCUGUACAGUUACACACUACUUUGUGUUGGUCUAUAAAAUCUGAAUAAAAUACAUUGAAGUGGUUUUAAAAUGACAAAA